rnacentral:rRNA from 1 species
AGAGUUUGAUCCUGGCUCAGAACGAACGCUGGCGGCAUGCUUAACACAUGCAAGUCGAACGGAUUCCUUCGGGGAUCAGUGGCGCACGGGUGAGUAACGCGUGGGAACCUGUCGAGAAGUGGGGAACAACCACUGGAAACGGUGGCUAAUACCGCAUGUGCCCCGAGGGGCAAAGGUCCUAAAGACCGCUUUUCGAGGGGCCCGCGUCCGAUUAGCUAGUUGGUGGGGUAAUGGCUCACCAAGGCUUCGAUCGGUAGCUGGUCUGAGAGGAUGAUCAGCCACACUGGGACUGAGAUACGGCCCAGACUCCUAUGGGAGGCAGCAGUGGGGAAUAUUGGACAAUGGGCGUAAGCCUGAUCCAGCAAUGCCGCGUGAGUGAAGAAGGCCUUAGGGUUGUAAAGCUCUUUCGCCUGCGACGAUGAUGACGGUAGCAGGAGAAGAAGCCCCGGCUAAUUCCGUGCUAGUAGUCGCGGUAAUACGGAAGGGGCUAGCGUUGUUCGGAAUCACUGGGCGUAAAGCGCGCGUAGGCGGCCGGUCAAGUGCGGCGUGAAAGUCCUGGGUUUAACCUGGGGACGGCGCUGCGGACUGUUCGGCUGGAGUCCGGAAGAGGGUGGUGGAAUUCCGAGUGUAGAGGUGAAAUUCGUAGAUAUUCGGAGGAACACCGGUGGCGAAGGCGGCCACCUGGUCCGGUACUGACGCUGAAGCGCGAAAGCGUGGGGAGUAAACAGGAUUAGAUACCCUGGUAGUCCACGCCGUAAACGAUGGGUGCUAGAUGUCGGGGGGCUUGCCCUUCGGUGUCGUAGCCAAUGUGUUAAGCACCCCGCCUGGGGAGUACGGCCGCAAGGUUAAAACUCAAAGGAAUUGAUGG